GGGUUGUUCCUCUCUCUUCGGGGUUGUUACUGCCUGUUCGGGGUUGUUCCUGCCUGUUCGGUGUUGUUACUGUCUGUUCGGGGUUGUUCCUCUCUGUUCGGUGUUGUUCCUCUCUGUCCGGGGUUGUUCCUCUCUGUUCGGGGUUGUUACUCUCUGUUCGGGGUUGUUACUGCCUGUUCGGGGUUGUUCCUCUCUGUUUGGGGUUGUUCCUGACUGUUCGGGAUUGUUCCUGCCUGUUCGGGAUUGUUCCUGCCUGUUCGGGGUUGUUCCUCUCUGUUCAGUGUUGUUCCUCUCUUUUCGGGGUUGUUCCUUUCUGUUCGGGGUUGUUACUGCCUGUUCGGGGUUGUUCCUCUCUGUUCGGGGUUGUUACUGCCUGUUCGGGGUUGUUACUCUGUGUUUGGGGUUGCUCCUGCCUGUUCGGGGUUGUUCCUCUCUCUUCGGGGUUGUUACUUCCUGCUCGGGGUUGUUCCUCUCUGUUCGGGGUUGUGCCUCUCUGUUCGGUGUUGUUCCUCUCUGUUCGGUGUUGUUCCUCUCUGUUCGGGGUUGUUCCUCUCUGUUCGGGGUUGUUCCUCUCUGUUCGGGGUUGUGCCUCUCUGUUCGGUGUUGUUCCUCUCUGUUCGGUGUUGUUCCUCUCUGUUCGGGGUUGUUCCUCUCUGUUUGGGGUUGUUCCUCUCUGUUUGGGGUUGUUCCUCUCUGUUCGGUGUUGUUACUGCCUGUUCGGGGUUGUUCCUCUCUGUUCGGGGUUGUUACUCUCUGUUUGGGGUUGUUCCUGCCUGUUCGGGGUUGUUCCUGCCUGUUCGGGGUUGUUCCUCUCUGUUCUGUGUUGUUACUCUCUCUUCGGGGUUGUUCCUCUCUCUUUGGGGUUGUUACUCUCUGUUCGGGGUUGUUACUGCCUGUUUGGGGUUUUUCCUGCCUGUUCGGGGUUGUUCCCCUCUGUUUGGGGUUGUUACGGCCUGUUUGGGGUUGUUCCUCUCUGUUCGGGGUUGUUACUGCCUGUUCGGGGUUGUUACUGCCUGUUUGGGGUUGUUCCUCUCUGUUCGGGGUUGUUACUCUCUGUUCGGGGUUGUUCCCCUCUGUUCGGGGUUGUUCCCCUCUGUUCGGGGUUGUUCCUCUCUGUUCGGGGUUGUUACUCUGUUUGGGGUUGUUCCUGCCUGUUCGGGGUUGUUCCUGCCUGUUCGGGGUUGUUCCUCUCUGUUCAGUGUUGUUCUUCUCUUUUCGGGGUUGUUCCUCUCUUUUCGGGGUUGUUCCUCUCUCUUCGGGGUUGUUAUAGCCUGUUUGGGGUUGUUCCUCUCUGUUCGAUGUUGUUCCUAUCUUUUCGGGGUUGUUCCUCUCUCUUCGGGGUUGUUACUGCCUGUUCGGGGUUGUUACGGCCUGUUUGGGGUUAUUACUCUCUGUUCGGGGUUGUUCCCCUCUGUUCGGGGUUGUUACUGCCUGUUCGUGGUUGUUACUGUCUGUUCGGGGUUGUUACUCUCUUUUCGGGUUUGUUACUGCCUGUUUGGGGUUGUUCCUGCCUGUUUGGGGUUGUUCCUCCCUGUUCUGGGUUGUUACUGUCUGUUCAGGGUUGUUACUCUCUGUUCAGGGUUGUUACUGCCUGUUCAGGGUUGUUCCUGCCUGUUUGGGGUUGUUCCUCUCUGUUCUGGGGUUUUACUGUCUGUUCAGGGUUGUUACUGCCUGUUCAGGGUUGUUCCUCUCUGUUCGGGGUUGUUACUGCCUGUUCGUGGUUGUUACUGUCUGUUCGGGGUUGUUACUCUCUGUUCGGGGUUGUUACUGCCUGUUUGGGGUUGUUCCUGCCUGUUUGGGGUUGUUCCUCUCUGUUCCGGGUUGUUCCUCCCUGUUCUGGGUUGUUACUGUCUGUUCAGGGUUGUUACUCUCUGUUCAGGGUUGUUACUGCCUGUUCAGGGUUGUUCCUGCCUGUUUGGGUUCGUUCCUCUCUGUUCUGGGGUUUUACUGUCUGUUCAGGGUUGUUACUGUCUGUUCAGGGUUGUUCCUCUCUGUUUGGGGUUGUUACUGCCUGUUCGGGGUUGUUACUGUCUGUUCGGGGUUGUUACUCUCUGUUCAGGGUUGUUACUGCCUGUUUGGGGUUGUUCCUGCCUGUUUGGGGUUGUUCCUCCCUGUUCCGGGGUUUUUACUGUCUGUUCAGGGUUGUUACUGCCUGUUUGGGAUUCUUCCUCUCUGUUCGGGGUUGUUACUGCCUGUUUGGGAUUGUUCCUCUCUGUUUGGGGUUGUUACUGCCUGUUGGGGGUUGUUACUGCCUGUUUGGGGUUCUUCCUCUCUGUUCCGGGUUUUUACUGUCUGUUCAGGGUUGUUACUGUCUGUUCCCGGUUGUUACUGUCUGUUCAGGCUUGUAACUGCCUGGUUCUGGGUUGUUAGUGUCUGUUCAGGGUUGUUCCUGCCUGUUUGGGGUUGUUCCUCUCAGUUCGGGGUUGUUCCUCUCUGUUCGGGGUUGUUACUGCCUGUUUGGGAUUGUUCCUCUCUGUUCGGGGUUGUUACUGCCUGUUGGGGGUUGUUACUGCCUGUUUGGGGUUCUUCCUCUCUGUUCCGGGUUUUUACUGUCUGUUCAGGGUUGUUACUGUCUGUUCCCGGUUGUUACUGUCUGUUCAGGCUUGUAACUGCCUGGUUCUGGGUUGUUAGUGUCUGUUCAGGGUUGUUCCUCUCAGUUCGGGGUUGUUCCUCUCUGUUCAGGGUUGUUACUCUCUGUUCGGGGUUGUUACUGCCUGUUGGGGGUUGUUACUGCCUGUUUGGGGUUCUUCCUCUCUGUUCCGGGUUGUUACUGUCUGUUCAGGGUUGUUCCUCUCUGUUCCGGGUUUUUACUGUCUGUUCGGGGUUGUGUUACUGUCUGUUUAGUCCUGUGAGAUGCUGCACAGGGGGGUGCACAGUUCUGGGUACCAGAAAGGGCCACAUGGAUGCUCAGUGUCAGGUCCCCUGUGUUGUGCAGGCCUGUCUCUUCACAAACACUCCCACGUGUAUUUAGCAUGUACAUGGGCUGCGUCAGCACUGCCCUCAAUGCACAUUAGGAAGCCAGUUCCUGAACAUAGCCCCCUAAUUACAGCACCAGGGAGUUUACUGACAAACUGGCCCCUCACCUUACUGAAAAAUUUACAUGGACACAGCCCUCAAUCAUCUUAGGUCACCCACUGAAUUUCUAGGCAAGGACCUGUUUUCUUUCCAGGGAAGCCACGCGGGCCCACAUUUCACUGCUUCCGAAUCAGCUCCAGCCACCCCCGGCGUGACGCAGCCGAGCAGCUGCCCGGCCAUGCCCACCCGUCCCUGCCCCUGACUCUGCCGUAGCUGAUUUGGGGGAGGCAGGGGGCAUAUAAACGUGAAUUUGCAGCAUGCCGGGCGAAGACGAUCGUCGAUUAGCAAGCGGCGAGGCCAGCACCCCCAAGUCCUGGGCCGGACACCAGAUGCCAGAGCUUCACGGAGCCCCUCACCCACCUGCUCACCUCAGCGGCUGGCACCAAGGCGCCAACAGCAUCCCACAGCUGGGGAGGAAAACUGGAAUGCAGGCCCCCAGUGCCAGCAGGGCUCGCUGUGAAAGGAGAGGGCCGGGGGCCUCCCAAGGAGAACUUCGGGGGACUCUUCCCACUCCCUCACUCUGCGGCUACAGAGCCCCCCAGCCGGCUUGGGAGCGGAGAGGAUUCUGGGCUCGGCCCCUGGAGGGAGAACGCAGCCCCCCUGAGCUCUGAAGCAGCACCGGGCUGUGGCUCAGAGGGGCGGGCAGCUCCUUGUGAACGAGGCCCUUCUCAGGAGUUCCCACAGACGAAGCCAUCCCACUACACAAACAGCCCCUAACGACCCUUUUCUGAAACCAAAUUUAAAACGAGACGGCAGGAAAAUGGAAGGGGUCCUGCUCCCGCCGCGGCUUGCCUCACUCGUAAGUGUCGGCAGCUGCUGCUCGCUUCUCAAGGUCGAAAGGAGCCCCCUGGACAGGACUCAGCAGGACAACGGGGCAACCUUCCAAUUUCAAAGAAAACCGCUGCCCUGCCCGGCGUGGGCCCUGCGGGGCCUGAGCCUCGCGGCCUGAGGCCUGCCCCCUCCGCAGGGCUCCUCCCCAGCUCAGCCCCGUCCCGGACUCAGGGGGGCCCUGGAAGGGCGGGGGCGCCUGGGAAGGACGGGAGGGGUGGGGGCGGCGCACAGCGGCCAGGGACGGAGACUCUGGGAGCCGGGGGGACCCACAGAGGGCAGGGAGGCCAUGGCUUCCAGGCGGGGCUGCCCAUGAGUUCUGUGUCCGCCCCCGGCAGGGCUCGACCCUGGUGCGUCCCCAGCAUGUUUCUUGGGGGCGCUGGAGGCUGCUGAUGCUGCCCAGAGUGGCCGGACACUCCUGCCCGAGGCCUCCUUCCGCCCUGAGCCCCCCAAACGUGUGGAGUUGGGAAGAGGAGCGGGCCGGGAAGGAGGGCGCGGGGGAAGGAAAAUGGAGAAAUGAGGAAAACGUGUCGGUUCUAAUAAAACCAUGUCUCCCUGUUCCCGGGCACGCAGCGGGGCAGCUGGCUCCGGAGGCGGGGCCGCCCACUCAGCACAGCCGCCCAGCCUGGCCGGCUGUAAACAGCUAUUACUGCUGAUCAAAGGCGCUACAAGGACUUAAUCACAGGGCUUAAGGUGAAGGAAGUGAGAGGGGGCUGCGCACGACGGGGCACAAACGCGGCGUUAGGUUUCCACGCACCGCGAUUCCCGCGUGCGGAGCGUCGGUCCCCGCCCUCGACAGCUGGAGUGGGGCCAGACGGCCGGGACCCCAGAGUUCAGAGGGCCACUGUGGCCCACCCGACAGCCACGUAUUCACAUGAGAGGGUGCGGGUUUCACCUCUCAAGGCGAAGGAGCCUCGCCCGACGCUGGGUGGUGAGCACGUUGAAGAUGAAAACAUCUGAGAGCGCCGUGCAAGAUGGGCGACGUAGGAAAAGCAAGGAGCGCAAUUCCGCCUCAGAUGGCAGAGGGGCAGCCGGCAGCGGGGGAGGGGCAGUCGGCGGGGGAGGGGCGGCCUGUGGGGGGAGGGGCAGUCGGCGGGGGAGGGGCAGCCGGCAGCGGGGGAGGGGCAGUCGGCGGGGGGAGGGGCAGUCGGCGGGGGGAGGGGCAGCCGGUCGGGAGGCAUCCAGGGGGAACGGGGCCCUCCUCGCUGCCUGCCUCUUGGACAGAGCCCAGGCGGCCGGUUUCAGCUCUGAGUCCCACAGCCACCACCCUCUCUAGGCCACGGACAUGGUCCUCUUGAAGGUUUCCUGCAGCACCCACACCCCUGGACCUUAUGGCUGCUGUGCCUCCCCAGAGAGACGCUGGAGGGGGAGGCAGCCCCAGGGAGUCCUAGGGACAGAAAACGAGAGCGACCUUUCAGGCGCACCACAGAUCACGCCACUCUCCUUGUGAGAUCUGCGCUGCUGUUUGUCGCUACUUCUAGAACAAAAUCCAGAGCUGCAGCUGCCCCCAAGGUGCUGAGACCCACCCGCGCCCCCAGGCCCACUACCCAUGCCCUUGGCUCAUGGAUGCACUGAGGCAGCCUCUGGGGCUCGGGGCUCAGGCCUCAGCUGGAGCUCUGGCCUGGGGCCUUUGCACGGCGGCUGCUGCCAUCUGCUCCUCCCUGGCGCUGUGGGGCCAGCUCCUUUCUUCGAGUUCUCUCACUGGACGCAUUGCCACCUCACACGGGACCCCUGACCCUGAGCUGGCCGGGUGGGGCCAAGUGACCCCAGCACCCAGGAAGUGGGCCCCCGCCCAGAAGCUGCUGUUUGUUUCUUACUAGCACCUAAUAAGUUGGAAUGUACUUCGCAAAGCCGUGGCUUUCGUUGACUGUCGACUUGUUCAACACCGCAUCCCAGGUCUGUCUGUGCUCAAAGAAGAGUGAGUGCCUGACCAGAGGCGACCGGGGCAUCCAGGCCUGAGCCACACAGCCCUCUGUGUCACACACACGGCUGGACUUCUCUCUGGCGCGUCCUGAGGCUGGCGGGCGUCGCCUUUGCAGGUGUAUGAAUACAAUCUUCCCACCGUUACUCAGCAGGCACAGGCUCCUGGGGCUCUGCCCCUUCACUGGAUGCAGGAGAAAGAAUUCUGGGUAGGCAGGAGGGUGCCGGGCUCUGCCAGGGCCAUGUUGGCCACGGGCAGGGCAGCCCAGGCCUCUCUGGGCCUGUUUUCUGUCUCGUUUCUUCUCUCCCAAGUGUAGCAGGAUUGCAGAGUGGGGUCCUUUCCAGGUCUAAAAUCAUGUAGCCUCUUGUUUUCCUGCUGUGCAUGUGUGGGGAGGGAGAUUCAGAUGACUGUGCACAGCAGAGGUCUGCAAACGAGAAGACAGGGUGCCUUCGUCUAGGACCCAUUUGGGCUGCCACAGGCAAAAUGACACAUUUCCUGGUAAAGGUGACUGGCACGGCUAGGAUCCUGUGCCCUCAGGAACCCAGCGAGCUGGAGCUGGUGUUCAGUAGCUGAUGGCGUGGGGCUUCCCUGGCUGGGCCCAUGCAGGUUUGCUUAGGCCGGUACACUCGCGUGGGGUCCACACUGCCUGAGGCAGGCACCCCCGCGCCCCAUCCUUGUAGGUUUGUAAUAUGAGCGCCUCCUCCAAGCAGCCCGGAAGCCGGCCAGGCCCUGAAUGGGUUCUGGAGAGUCUUGCAGCCCCAUCCAGCACAUGACCCAGGACAGGGCCACCCAGCUGUCCUCCCCAGCCCCAUCCAGCACCCAACCCCACCCUGCAUCAGCUGCUCUCCUUGGAACCAAGCUUGCGGGGUGGGGCAAAGGUGACCCCAGCACGCAGCACGGUGCCAGGCAUGGAACUGACACGUGAUGCCCGUCUGUUUAACGAGUGAACAAAGGCACCAGAGGCUUUCUUCCCUUGAACACCAAUCUUCCAACCUAGAUUAGCAGCCGAGCGAGAGGUGGCGUCUGAACAGCCUAGAUUAGAGGCCGAGCGAGAGGCGGCGUCUGAACAGCACCCUGGGAUCAGGCAGCGCACGCUUCCCACAUGUGUCUUGCUCGUUCACUAAACAAAUAUUUGUGCUUGGCACCAGUUGAUAUGUUGGCAUUGUGUUUCAUCUGAUUGUGUGUUAUUUAAAAAACUCCUAUUACUAAAUCCAUUAAGCAACCAAACUGCUAGAGUCACUAGAUUAAAAUGCAUGACACACAACUACAGGAAAAUGUCAGGAAAUGCAAAUCUAGGCAGGCGUCCUCAGACAUAUCAGCUAUGAGGAAACUCUCUCUAGGAGAUCUGUGUUUUCCUCCCAAAAGAAGAUCAUCUUUCCAGAAAAAGAGGAUUUUACAGUCAAUUUGCUAACAUAAUAUAAAUUUGUCUCCUUCCGGGGACUUAUAUAUGUUAGUACAUAAUUGGUGUCUUUAUUGAUGGCUGUAAGAACCAAUACCUCCAAAAUAAACAGAAUUUGUACAAUAGUAAAGCCAUUUAAAAAGGCAUGCUCCACUUUAUAGAAUAUA
rnacentral:lncRNA from 1 species